UUUUUUUUGUUGUAACUUUGAACGGUCACUAAGUGGACUGUUGUAAGUCGAGGACUACCUGCACUCUUCUGGACAAUUAAAGGCCUGAUCACCAUCAGAAUAACCUCUUGGUAAGAAAGAAGGCCUGGAAGAACGUUGUCUAUGGGGUAGCGAUCGGUCGGACACGACUUCGGGACACGACUUCGCAAUUAACAACAACAAUAAAGACCAACAUUUCAUCCCCAGUAUUUUACAGGAGAGUGAAAACGGGGGGGAGGGGAGGGGGAGUUUCCGUCGGCACCUUGCAGUAUUCCUUUGCACCACACAGCACAGCACAAUGCCACAAAACACAGGGAUUCACCUCCAGAGACUCCCUGACGGAGGCUAAGGGCGGAAUUGGAGGAGGAAGCAAGACGCAAAGACUCCGCGAGAUAGAGCGGCAUGGCUUCGGGCGAUAGAGAGAGAGGGCGGCGCACUCAACUCGUCCUCGGCUCCAAAGAUUUCCCCGGGGAAGUUAAGAACAACAACCGUCCGCUUGGAGCCGCUCAGAAAGAGGCGGCAACUUCUUAACACGACAGGUUUCCUGGGACGUGAGAGCGCCUCGGCAGCCCGCGCGAUACCCGCUUGCCUACCGCUGCGGUGCUCUCUGGUUUCCUUCCCCGCUCGCUUCUUCGCGGGCGUUCCGCAGCUCACCUGUCCGCCAAGAAGACCUAACUUCUCUCGCUUGGCUAGACGCCAAUCUUCUGAUUCGUUCUCUACCGCUUUCCUCUUUGCACGAGUUUGGCCCCGGCAUUUGAGAAAUCGUAUCAACGAACAACAAUGAGCCCAACCACCACAAGUUAUUUCUCUUUGGGUAACUUCGCUUUCUCUUUUGGCUUCGUUGCUAAAGUGAGGAACGAGGUGUAUCUCUAGGCCAGGGGUAGGCAACCUCGGCUCUUUUAUGACUCAUGGACUUCAACUCCUAGAAUUCCUGAGUCAGCUAUGCUUAUUCAGGAAUUCUGGGAGUUGAAGUCCAUGACUCAUAAAAGAGCCGAGGUUGCCUACCCCUGCUCUAGGCUAAGUGGCGAAAGACCACGCAGGAGAAAUGUCCCGGAAAUCCAGCAUCCCAGCAUAAGAAGACACUGGCCUCCGAUCCAUUUAUCCUGUGGGCUGGCGGACCUCCGAAAUCCUAUUUUGCAUCUUUUCUGUAGCCUACAUUGUACAGUAUAGCUAAAUUGACUGUGCAGAGGGUGGGUCGUCGCCAUCUUAUUACAGUAAUGGCAGUUCCUUUUUCUUUGUUGGCUUGCUUAAGCUCUAAGUUGUGAAAAGUGUUGAUCGCAAUUAGCUUUAUCGAAUGAAUGAAUGAAUGUCAAAAAUAUUAGUUCAGUGUAAAAGGUUCCUAUACCAAUAGGCUGUCUAACUGUUUCAAUAAACAAAUUCUAGAAAUUGUUUAAUUCUUUAAUUGGCUCACAUGUCAAUAAACUGCCUUUCACUUA